GAAUCAGUUUUAAAACUAAAUGAGGUGUAAUGGUUCUGCCCCCAUGGAGUGAACAGUUCGGAAUCUCCUGUUCUUCCUCUGGACUCUCAGGGCAGGUUAUAUUAGGGCUUGCAUUCAUCUUCCAUCCAAGUGCGGAUCCCAUUCAAACUUGGUUAACUUCAAGUUUUCAUGCUGCAGGUUUUCAUGCUCUCGGAUUAUCCAUUUGAAUCUGUUGUCAAUACACAGGCAAUCUGUUCCUGUGCAAACUACAACUGCAAACAUUUAGCUCAGAAAACAGUUUUGAAUUUAAAAAGCUGCCUUAUACCAAGACAAGCUCCUUGUUGUAUACACUGAGUGGCAGUGACUCUCCAGUGUGUCAGACAGAGGACAUCACUAGCCCUUCUUGGAGAUGCCGGGAACUGAACCUGGGCCUUUUGCUCUACAGCUGAGCUAUGGCCCAACUUGAGUGCCAAAGCCAAACCAGCCAGACCAUAAUUUUGAUGGAAUAACUGUGUGUGUUUACAACCACCAGAUUGAUCUUUGGUAAUGAUUAUGCUUAUAAAUUAUAUUGGUAAACAUCUAUGUACUUAAAAAACAAAUGUAACAUUUUUUUCUUUUUAUUGUUUACAGGAAUAUGUAAUUAUGUUUAUAAAUAUCUCAAUAAAUUAAGAUAAACUAGUGAAACAGUAGGGACGCAGGUGGCAUUGUGGGUUAAACCACAGAGCCUAGGACUUGCCGAUCAGAAGGUCGGCGGUUCGAAUCCCUGUGACGGAAUGAGCUCCCGUUGCUCGGUCCCUGCUCCUGCCAACCUAGCAGUUCGAAAGCUCGUCAAAGUGCAAGUAGAUAAAUAGGGCGGGAAGGUAAACGGCCUUUCCGUGUGCUGCUCUGGUUCGCCAGAAGUGGCUUAGUCAUGCUGGCCACAUGACCCGGAAGCUGUAUGCCGGCUCCCUCGGCCAAUAAAGCGAGAUGAGUGCCGCAACCCCAGAGUCGGUCACGACUGGACCUAAUGGUCAGGGGUCCCUUUACCUUUAGUGAAACAGUAGCAAGAGAUUGGUUUUCAGUGGCAAUCUAGAGUUUGUUGUUUGUGCAGGCAAAAUUAGUUAAAAGGGAUGAAAGCUCUGUAAGUAUCAGAUUCCCCUCCCCCUUACUUGUGUAAGCACACCCUGAGUCUCUGUUCUUUGACAUGGGAAGUUGGAGGGGGAAGGGGUGUGUUACCAUGGUUUAACGGAACAUAAACACUGAAUGUAACCCAUGAAACAGUCUCCAACGAGCAUUACAAAAAGAAAACAAUUCAAAGGAUUCCAUUCUUGAAAACGAACCUCUUUUCAAAUCCUGGCGGGUGGUAGGAGAGUGUGAGUUAUUCAAGAGUGUUUCUUUCAUGAGGGCUUUCUCAUCUGUAGCUCAGAUAUCAGAGAAAUGUCGAGUGUUGUUGUGUGCCGGCUCUUGAGUUGUCAGUGCCGUUGGAAACCAGGCUCGUGCUGGAAUGAAACUCACUGAUGUGUGCCUUUGUUGUCAGCUCUUUGCUUUGUUGCCGUAAAACCUGCAACUUCCAGCACCCUCCCUGCAGCUUUUACUAGGAUUGGCCACCCAUUAGCCACAUCAGGAAAAUGUUAACAAGGGGAAGCUCAACCUCUAGGGCAGUGUUUCCCAAGCUUGGGUCGCCAGUUGUUUUUGGACUACAACUCCCAUCAUCCCUAGCUGGCAAGAUCAGUGGACAGGGAUGAUGGGAAUUGUAGCCCAAAAGCAGCUGGAGAACCAAGUUUGGGAAACGCUGCUCUAGGGUAAGAAGAAGGAGAAGGAGAAGGAGAAGGAGAAGCCCUGCUGAGCCCUCCCACUCAUAGAUGGAUGCACUUGAGAUUUGUUUGUAAAAUGGCUCAUUCUGUACCAACUUUUGAUGAUAUCAUAAGUGUCACCUUUGCAGUUCCAUCUGCGAAAUCUGGAACAUGUGACACAGUACCCCAAAGCAGUUUCCUGCUUGCUCGCAAUUUUGUUCAUCAUAAGACAUUACCAAAUCAAGAGCACUUAGAUGUCUGGCUGAGUUCUCCAGGUGUAGCCAUUAAGGCUCUGUGAGCGACUGAACUCACUCCAUUUGAGCUUCAGAUUUUCUUUUCAGUAUGAGCCUAGCAUCCCUAGUUAGGCAUGAAGUGAAGGAAGAGAAGCCGAUUGGACUGCUGAUACACACCGCUCAGUUCUCAUAAUUUAGCCUAUUACAUGCAUAAGGAGCCCAAGAGAAAGUGAGAUUGAGCUCAGCUCCAUCUAGACUUGGUAACAAAAGUUUCUCUCUCCCUUCCUUUCAUGCCACAACUUCAAGUGAACCAGUAGUCUGGCCGAGAAAACUGGAAAGACCUUUGGAGAUGUUGUCUUUUAUGGUGUUAUGGGUAAUGGGAGACCUCUGCUACUAAUAAUGUUAAGAACUCAUCAAGAACGGCACAUCAACAGCAAGAAUACUACUGGUCCAAAAAUGGAAGCAGGAAGAAUUACCAUCGAUAGAAGAAUGGAGAAUGAAAUUAAUGGACUACGCAGAAUUAGAUAAAUUAACAGGAAGGGUCCGGAACCGACGAGAUCACAAGUUUACCAAGGACUGGAGUAAAUUUGUGGACUAUAUGAAAAGCAUAUGUGAUACGCAAAUAACGUUUGUGGGUUUACAGGAAGCUUUGUGAAGAAAUAAUAUUAGAAACACUGU